AUAAUAAAUGAAUGAAUAACGAAUAAUGAAUAAAUGAAUGAAUGAAUGAAUGAAUAAAUCAAGGAAAAGAGAAACAACAGAAUACUAGCAAGUACGAGUAAGCAAACCCUAAUGCGCCAAAGCCACGGUGUCAAAACUAGCAUGCAAGGACUAGCUAAAAGGAACGACAUUGAAUAAGAGAACUGAAUUGCAACUGAAAAGGAAAAGAAAAGAAAGGAAACAAGAAACAGCCCACCAUCAUGGAAGAGCAACAUUAUGACCAGAGAAAGACGUCAUGAAUAAGCUGGAUUAAAGGAAAUCAAAGGAACACCAAAACAUUAAUGAAUAUCAAGGAUGCACAGGGAAAUCAAGAACAAAUCAAGAAGCGAUAAUGAAACA